AGGAAAUUUCACAAAUUAGCAAUGACUUUGCAAUAGUGUAUUUCUUCAAAAACAUCAUUGCACAAAGAAUGUAUGUGCAUGGAAGGAGAGAAUUCAGUAAAAUAAUGCCAGCACUCUUUGAAGUGUAGAACUUUGUUCCGUGAAGAAUACACAGCGUGAAAAGGUACAGACUAAUCAAGUUGGAACCCAAGUCCACCUCUUCUAUAACGACAUUCAUAAAUCUUAUUUGAACCCAGAUGAUAUACAAAAUCUUGACCAAGGCUCAAGCUAACCUU